GUGGAUUCAGAUAUUGAAAGCAUGGCAUAACCUCCAUCUAAUGAUAGUCUAAAGAUCUCCGGUUGGCACAAGGAAGAGUCUGGUGAAACCCUGAUUCAUCUGGUAAAACAUUUUUAACCAUCUUUAGAGCAAAUUUCUAACAAAAAAAUUUAACAUGUACACAAGUCUAAAUCAUGCUGUACUGAAAUAAAUGUACCACAAAGAAAUAUUUCUCCUGCAGUCCUCCAGUAUCUGCAGACAGGUUGGAUCAAUAGACAGUUAUAAAUGUAAGAUUUUUGCUUAUUUUUAUUGUUAUUUUAUUUUUUGUCUAGCAGCUCGGAAUCACCUUCAAAUUUUAAUAAAUGCAAAUAAAAUCAGAAAUAAAAACAACUAGAAUAUGCAGCUAAUGCUAUUGAAGAAGCUCCAGAGAGUUGAAACUGGCCGAGAAAACUGGGAGCGCAAUUUAAAAAAUGCAAAUGAAAAUAUCAAAAUUUGCAUUCGUUUCGUAGACGAGAACAGUUUUUGACACAAUGGGCUUUAACCUCUAACCAUAAACUUCAAAACAAGUUUGAUAACAUUCAAAAGAUCUCAAUGAGAUCAACAAGAAAAUAGGUUGUGACAGAGGAAUAUAGAAACAAAGCGAAGAUACUCAAAACAUCUUCCACUCGGAUUAAAAAAAAAAGUUUUUUUUUUUUCCUCCCUACGUCUCGCACACGUUCGUUUGGUGAUGACCCUGUUCCUGCUUAACAGAACUAUGCUACCAUUUCACAAAAUGGAUUUUUUUUUAUUCUUUCCACUAUCUAUAUUAUGGAAUCAGCAUAAUAACUCCGUUCUCUUUUCAAACGUUAUGGGAAAACUACAAUCAGUCACUCUCUAACGAGAUCAAUAACACGACGCUGGGCAGCUUCAUCAUCCAAAAAGAGGCAGCUGGGAUACACGGACAUUUAAAAAAAAAAAAAAAAAAAAAAAAAAACAGAGCAAAAAAAAAUAAAAAAAAAAAAAACAAAGAAGCAAAUUGAAGGGGUCAAAAACACAGAAACUUCGGAAAAAGAUCAAGAUAUGCAUGAAAAUACUGUGGAAAUUAAUGAAAUCUAAAUAACAGGCAUUGCUUAUUAAAGAUGAAGUGUCUUCAACUGCAAAAAAGAUAAACUUAUAGCUGCCCCUUGUAGGGAGGAAAUGCACUUAGGACACAAUAAUAGGUUUGAAUUCAUUGGCAAUAAUUAAAAUGAAAAAUCCCCAUGAUGAUCCACCUUUUCUGUGCUUGUUGGAGGGAAUCCUUCCCAUCACAUGACAGUGAGAAAUGCAUUAGGCCGGAAAAGCACUUUAGCUGAUACUUGUAUAUUGAUCAGCAUAUUUCCAUGAUUACGUUCCGCCCAAACAGACGCAGACACAUCUUUAGAUCGCUCUCACACGCCUUUCUGAGGACUAAAUAUUAGUAAUACAUACAAACACUGGUCUUCAUAAUGAAAAGUUGAGGAAAAGGAUAUAGCUAUGUAGUUAGUACUUUUUUUUCUCAGAUGAACACAAGACAGAAAGAAGCUAAACCGAUGAAAAAAAAAAAAAGAGCGAAGUAACCAGCCUUCCUCUCUUUUUAACCCUCGUUCUCCUCUUUUUCCACUACCGCUUUUUGUCCUUGUAGCCUUUUAUAUACAGUUCCCUUUCUCCGUUAUGACCUGUAAUGUUUAACGUGAAUAUAACAUUCCUAUGAGGACAGUAAUGUACUGUGCUAUUACAUAUGAAAUACGUAAAUGGUAGGACUAUUCGUGGCUGACCCCCUUUUUCACAUCCCAGAAUUCCUAGUAUUGCAUGUUUGGCUCUUCAAAAGCCACUGAAGAGAUGGAUGUGCAAGUGUAGCCUCUUUUAAACUCUUGCUAAACCCUUGUAUUCGAUUCCUUUCUGUGUUUUUAGAUGCACACUUACACAUCAACCAUGAUUUUGCAAAACUGAACUGCCAUUGAGUGAAUUAACAAAGUUCCUGUUACACGAUAAAGUCAUUACGAAUACAAGGAUUAGAGUUUGGCAUGAAAGCAGUUUAAGGCACCAAACAGUGUGUGACGCCAGAAGAGGUGUUUGUAUUUUAUGAAAAAGGGAUGCCUUUGAGAUGCUGUUCUCCGCCCCCUCGGGGAUCUAAGGAUGCUCAUAGGGCAGGUUAAUGCAUGCCCCGCCCCUUCCGUGAGGAGUGGGAGGGGUUAGAGGUCAGAUGGGGUUUGUUCUCAAUCCACUAGGGCGGCGCUCUACACCAGCGUGAUCUCCACCUCUUCGGUUUUCUCCACCUGUUUGCGAGCGUGCUGCUUUGGAGGAGGAGGUGCCGCCCGAACCUACAGACACACAAAAUAACACCGUUUAAUAGAGAAAUUAAGUGAAAAUGUGUAGGUCCCCUAAAAAUAAAGAAUAAAAAAUAUUAUAUUUAUAUAACAUUUAUAAUAUCAUAUUUACACAAUAAAAAUAUAUAAUAAUAAAUAGUAAAUAUAUAAUAAUAAAUAUAUUAUAAACUAUUUAAAUAAAAAAAAAAAUUAACUAUUUUUGUUAUUUUUUAUUUAAAAAAAAGAGAAUUAAGUUGGGAAAAUGUGCU
rnacentral:lncRNA from 1 species